rnacentral:lncRNA from 1 species
CACCACAUACAAGAAUCACAGAAAUCCCCCUUUGAAUUGGUUAAGUGUGACAGAUGUAGUGCAAAACCUACUAAAUGUUCAAAUCACUUAGUGUAAUCAAAGAUGACAGUGUGUAGGAGAACGGCUGCAGCUUGACAAAGGCAAAGCAAAAUAGUGUCAGCCUUCAAGUUAGAGGAUAGAUUACUCAAGCCGGAAGUGUAAAAGUAUA